UUCGGGGCGGAAAUGUAUCGCCAAUCAGAACAGCAGUGAAAGUGCCAUUCUAGAUUGCAUCAUUCGUUCCUAGGUGGGUAUUUCUACUUCUUCACCCGUGAUUACACCUCACAUAGACCCGUGCCACAUUUCUGAUGCAACGUCAGGGAACCGUUUUUUUUUUCGUGCGGAAGGAAUCACCACGUGGUGAUGAUGGUGGCCACAAUAGCUGUGACCUCACCUAGCAACAGAGCACAACCCAGCAAAGGCAGCGGCUCCGGGAGCCUGCUUCUUGUUUGGUGGCAGUAACCUUGUGUCACGAAACAGAGCGAGGGAGAGAGAAAGAGAGGGAGAGAGGACGAGAGACCUCACGGUUUACGUACGCCGUGCCGGGAACGGUCUAGAAUCGCGUGCCACCGCGUGGUCUGCAUGCGGUUGCCGUUGACUCAGCGCUGACCUUGAAAACCCCUGAUUUGAAGUACCAUUUGAACAGGAGCCAGCAGGCGAGAGGGGGGUAUACAGGUACUGGCUCCUACAACUAGCUGAUAGUGUAUGAUAUCAUUCGCAUGAAAUUAAAAAGCAAGCACAAGCGUGCGGGCACAGGAACUCAAAUCAGCGUGUAAUCAGUUCGGCAAACGUGCGAAAUAGGCAUCUAUAAAUAGAUUUUAAUGUCAAGCGAGUUUAGGGUUGCGCGUCGAAUGACAACCCGCCGUACACAGGCACGGACGCACGCACACAUACAGCCAUGCCUGCAUUAACCGUCAGACGACCUGGUGCUAAGGUGAUUAGCUGAAGAAGGCAGUAAAAAAAACACACACACUCAGCAGCUUAGUCACAGUAGGCAAUGAUGCGUGCAAAAGCCGUUCAGUGCGCGUUUGUGUAUUAGUAGGUCGCAGUGUAAUUUUGCACGUACGCCGCCGCGGUGUAAUGUACGCACGCAUACAUCUGCCGGUAAGUGGUAGUGUGUGUGUGUGUGUGUGUUGUUUUUCGAUAGCGUCGUGCCUCCGGCGAUAACGUAAUGAAGAGGGAAGGUUUGAGUCAUUAUCAGCCCGCAAGAAGUAAUCGAGCGUGCGCGCGCGAUUUUACAGCAAAACGGCUGUUGUUUUCUGUGCGGUUUUUACGUAUGUGUGUUUUUUGGUUGUUGUUUCCUUGUUGUUGAUUGUGGUACACCCAUACAGUGAAAGAAAUGGUGGAGUACGUGAGCGAACGCAUCUCCGCCCGUAGUAGCAGCUCUCCCUGACCUUCGCACAGUGCUGACGGAAUGUGAAGUAAGAGUAAGACAAGAUCAAAUUUCCUGCUACAGCCGCUGAAACGGCAAGGGAAAUUGGUUCUUCCCAACGGAAGGAUUUCAGCUUCAUUAACACUGUGCGUCUUGCACUAGCCUUCCCCAACCUACCCUAAAGAGCCAGCCGGUGCACGAAAAUAUGAAGGUUCGCCCAGGCUUUAUGUUUGAGCAGGACGAUUUCGACGGAGGGCUUGUUAGCGAUGGAAGCAGACCGUCUUAGUUUGCUGGUGAUAUCGCACUGGAAGGAAGGUGUCGAGAGCUGUCAGAUCUGUGGAGGACGCCACAGUAUGGUUUUUGUUAUCAGCUGGGUGUAAAAUUUCGCCCUCUCUUCCUGCCUCACGACACCUGUCAUCCGUCAAACGAACCGGUGUGGACUUGUUUUGCAAUCCAGCCAAAGGCUCCUAACGGCCUUGUCCAGAUUGUUCCAGUUUGAGGUGGCUUGUUGUCGCCCUAGAAUCUUAUCAAUCCUGUCCACUAACUGUGCGGGUGUGUGUGUGUGCUUUUGAUGGAGCCAUGCAGGCUUGUUUACGGAGCUGAUUAGAUGCAUCUUUAUUAUCGCGCAAUGGUACAAUGUUGUUUCUCCUACGAGUUUCUAUCAUCGACACGUUACUUUUCCUCGGGAAGUGUUUACGGUGUUGUUUGAAGGUGAACUACCUGCUUGCCUAAUCACCUUGCUCAACAGGAAGCACAGGUGUUAUUUUCUCCAGCGCAACGCCAUUCGCCACCAAAUGCCGAGUGGGUGGAUAAGGUGUGUGUGUGUAUGCGCUGAGAUAGAAGUAAAUCAUAGCAACCACUCGGCAGGCAAAUAUGUAAACAUCGACAGCAAACAUUAUAACCACCGCACCAACACAUAAGCGUGACACGAAGCCGGCCGGGAUGCCCUCUGCCGGUCGCCGGUUUUACUUUGCCCCGGUGCCACACUGCUGCUGCUGCUGCUGGCCGGUGCAAAUGCUCCCUUUCAGCACGGAGGGGAAAGGGACAAGGGACGGAAAAAGUCGCACAAGCACCUCUCCCCCAUGGGAGCUGCUGGUUAGCGGCUGUGCAGCACGGUAGCCGACCCCGUGCACGGAACGGAAAGCGAAAACGGUGUGCAAACGAGAUGGCCGGUGCGGUGAAUGCAUACAUAGAGAGCAGAAGGUAUAGGGAGCGAACGAAAGAGAGAUAUAUAAAUGAGUGUGUAUGUGUGUAUGAGUAUUGGAUGCGAAUUUAUGCUCGCACAUGAUGCGCUGUUGCUAAGGGCCUCGAUCGACCUGCUGAUGUUAUCGGUUCCCCAUCCCCCAACAUCCCCCAUGCAGCUGCAGUUUACCUUUGCCCAAGCAUGGGUGGUAGUGUUGCCCCAUGCUGAGGAUGGAAGAGGAAGAAGACGCCCGGAGAACAGAACGGUGGCCUUUCCCGAAGAGAAAUUGACACAAAGUAACAUUGCUUUUUUGCUGCCGACAAUUUGUUUUUGGAAAUAGUACAAUGUUUGAGGUAAAAUCCGGUUCGAAGGACUAUUUUUGUUUGAUUGUUUUGACCUCUAAAAUGAUGUUAUUGUGAUUAGGCUAAUUAAAACAAGUUUUAAAGCACAGAGUAAGUUCUAUGGUAAUGAUAUCAGGCUUUAUAUUGCAAAUUAACUUACACAAAA